UACGUAGGUGGCAAGCGUUGUCCGGAAUUAUUGGGCGUAAAGCGCGCGCAGGUGGUUUCUUAAGUCUGAUGUGAAAGCCCACGGCUCAACCGUGGAGGGUCAUUGGAAACUGGGGGACUUGAGUACAGAAGAGAAGAGUGGAAUUCCACGUGUAGCGGUGAAAUGCGUAGAGAUCGGGAGGAACACCAGAGGCGAAGGCGGCGACCUGGACAAGUACUGACACUCAACUACGAAAGCGUGGGGAGCAAACAGG
rnacentral:rRNA from 1 species